rnacentral:rRNA from 1 species
UGGCUGUCGUCAGCUCGUGUCGUGAGAUGUUGGGUUAAGUCCCGCAACGAGCGCAACCCUCGCCAUUAAUUGCCAUCAUUAAGUUGGGCACUUUAAUGGGACUGCCGGUGAUAAACCGGAGGAAGGUGGGGAUGACGUCAAGUCCUCAUGGCCCUUAUGGGUAGGGCUUCACACGUAAUACAAUGGUCGGUACAGAGGGUUGCCAAGCCGCGAGGUGGAGCCAAUCCCAGAAAGCCGAUCGUAGUCCGGAUUGGAGUCUGCAACUCGACUCCAUGAAGUCGGAAUCGCUAGUAAUCGCGGAUCAGCAUGUCGCGGUGAAUACGUUCCCGGGUCUUGUACACACCGCCCGUCACACCAUGGGAGUGGAAUCUGGCAGAAGUAGGUAGCCUAACCGCAAGGGGGGCGCUUACCACGCUGGGUUUCAUGACUGGG